GGAUGUGAGGGUGAUCUGGCUGUGACAUCUGUCACUCCGAGUGAUCUCCAGGGUUGAUUUGGCCCAUGUGGCUGGCUAGGCUGGUGUCCCCUUCCUCCCUCACGGCUCUGUGUGGGUUCCCUCCCGAAGCUGUGCACUGGGCCCAAGAGGAUGACCUUGCAUGACAGAGGGGGACUGACUGUUGCUCAGGCAGAAGUGUAGAAGUAGCUGUGCUCCCCUCCUAGCACCUCCAGACAAGCUCUCCAGGAGCGCUCCCUGCAGAAUGUAGGGUAGUCAAGCUUCCAAGACUCCAGGCACAUCCAGAUGAGGUGCCGCGUGUGGCUGUCUGCCUUUCUUA
ensembl:misc_RNA 7SK 7SK RNA